GUCCUCACAUGGUGGAAGGAGCUAGCUAGCUCUCUGGGGCCUUUUUUUUAUAAGAACAGUAAUCCCAUUCAUGAGGGCUUUGUCCUUAUAACUUAAUUACCUCCCAGAGGCUUCAGUUUCUAAUACCACCACCUUAGGGGUUAAGAUUUCAACAUAUAAGUUUGGCGGGGUGGAGAGAAAUAAACAUUCAGACCACAGCAGAAGGUUGCCCUAAAUUCUGGAGUCGGGGAGGGGGGAAGUAUCGCAAGAAAACAGGAACACUGAAAGACAUGGGCUCCUUCUCAGAUCUUAGAGAACAAAAGAAAGAACUAAAUGGAGAUGUGGGAAUCACAAGGCCAUAGUUUAGGGUCUCGCAGUGCCAUUGGCAACAAAGCCUGAGAGCCUAGGCGAUAGAGGCAGAACACCCAGAGGAGAAGCCCCUUCCCCUUGCACCGUGAGCCUGGUGUUUGCAGCUUGGUAGCAGUGGCAACAGAACAAUCAGUUCUCCUACAAUAAACCAGGGACGGAACAAACAACAGCAGCAGCGGUAGCAGGGAAACAGAAUCUGUGUUGGCGUGCAGUGAGCAGGCAGCGUCUGCAAAGUAGCGCUGGCAACCACAACAGAGAGGCCAGCAACAGGAGGAGCAGGAGGAGCCCUGGAACAAGUACAGUUGACUCUGAACAAGUCAGGUUUGAACUGCAUGGGUCCACUCAUAUGAAGAUUUCUUUCAACGAAAGCUACCCCGAGUGUGCCUGCCUUUCCUGCUUCCCCUUCCACCUCCUGCACCUCUACCAUCCCUGCCACCCCUAAGACAGCAAGGCCAGUCUCUUCUCUCUCUCCCCCUCCUCCUUCAGCCUAUUCAACUUGAAGAUGACAAGGAUGAAGAGCUUUAUGAUGAUCUACUUCCCCUUAAUGAACAGUAAAUAUAGUUUUUCUUCCUUACAAUUUUCUUAAUAGCAUUUUCUUUUCUCUAGCUUACUUUAUUGUAAGAAUACAGUG
rnacentral:lncRNA from 1 species